rnacentral:rRNA from 1 species
UUUGACCUCAAAUCAGGUAGGACUACCCGCUGAACUUAAGCAUAUCAAUAAGCGGAGGAAAAGAAACUAACAAGGAUUCCCCUAGUAACUGCGAGUGAAGCGGGAAAAGCUCAAAUUUGAAAUCUGGCAGUCUUUUUUUUCUUCUUUGGCUGUCCGAGUUGUAAUCUAGAGAAGUGCUUACCUGCGCUGGACCAUGUAUAAGUCUCCUGGAAUGGAGCGUCACAGAGGGUGAGAAUCCCGUCUUUGACAUGGACUGCCAGUGUGUUGUGGUGUGCUCUCAAAGAGUCGAGUUGUUUGGGAAUGCAGCUCUAAAUGGGUGGUAAACUCCAUCUAAAGCUAAAUAUUG